ACAUUGCGGUUGUGGUUAGUUAAACGGGCGGUGUUGAUGUCCGCCUCGUAAACAUCGAAGCCUCCCUAUCAUCCUUCCCCCCUCCUCUCACUCUCCCAGCUUCGAAGUCCCACUAUUUUCAUUUCUUUGGAUCCGUCAGAUUUCUCAGAUUGUCUGUUUCUUCGAUCUCAUCGCCAACUUUUUUUCUUUUACGAAUCCGUCACCUUUGUUCCAUUUUCACUGCUUCCCCCCACCCAUUUUUAAGGAAACUGAGAGAGUGCAGAAGAAAACAUCAAACAAACCCACCAAUUCUCUUGUUUCCUAACUUCUCUGUUUCCAGAAAUGGAGUCCUUUCCGGUGCCGUGCCCCAAGACCACCUCGCUCCCACGCCGCCGAUCCGGGGUGAAAGAUUCUAAUACGCACCAGCACACGAUGCUCUCGCUUCAUCGCGGUUCCAGUCCCAGACCGUGUGCCUUACACGGAUCUUUCCUCGGUGACCCUAGCCAUAACUUGAAGCAAUCCAGGGACUGGAAGAUGUGUGCAAAGCUGAAUGAGGUUACGGCCGAAAAAUCUUCAAAUUCUGCACCUGUACUUUCCACAAAGUAUGGAGCCCCAUCAUCAGAAGUGAAAGUUGACUCGUCACAUCCUGUUCGAGACACCGUUCCUAAUGAAUCAUCAAUCUCAGCAUUCAUGGCUCAUGUAUCAGAUCUUAUCAAACUUGUUGAUUCGAGAGAUAUUGCGGAGCUGCAGCUGAAGCAAUUGGGCUGUGAGAUCUUAAUCAGAAAAAAGGAAGCUCUACAGCAGGCAGCUCCUGUUGCUAGUAUGCCACCACCCCUUACCCAUGUGAUGCUUCCAUCUCCUCUGCCACCAGCCACAGCAGCUGCUCCUGCUUCUGCAAACCCUCCUUCAGCAUCAGCACCUGCACCUGCCUUACCCGCCCCUGCAAAGGCAAACACUUCGUCACAUCCACCACUGAAAUGCCCCAUGGCUGGAACCUUCUAUCGCUGUCCUGCACCUGGUGAACCACCAUUUGUCAAGGUAGGAGAUAAAGUCCAGAAAGGUCAGAUUGUCUGCAUCAUCGAGGCAAUGAAACUAAUGAAUGAAAUUGAGGUAUCUCUUUCCUCGACUGUUCAAACUGAAGUGGGUUGGUCCCUACAUAUUUCUUUAGGCCUCUUUGGAGACUUAGAAUAUCUCAGUAUAUACGUGAAUAGUAGUGAAAUAGUUUGAGUAAUGUUUUAUUAGGUUUUGAGAAAUGAGAGAAAAAAAAUUAAAUAAAAAUAUUAUAAAAUUAAAAAAUUGUUUGAAUAUAAUUUUUUAAGAUUAUUUUUAUUUUGAAAUUUGAAAAGGUGAUAUUGUUUUUUAUGUUUUGUUUGAAAGUUUGUGAAAGUUGUAAUGAUUAGGUAAUAAUUAAAUGAAAAUGUUGAAGAUUUGAAAUUGAAAGUGUUUUGUGUUUGAGUGGCGUUUGGGAAGGAAAUAUCUGAAAAUGCUUAGAACAUUUGUGUUCCCAAACGAAUUCAUAAGUUUCAUCUUUAUUGGCCCCUCCUGCUGGUGUCAUUUCUAGAUGGAUAAAUUAUGUCAAUCUUCAUCGUGGAUAUGGAGAAUCAUUCUUGUUGCUUGAAUUAGGGAACAUUGUCUUGAUGGAAAAUACUUUUAAAUGACCUUAAUUUUCACAUAUACGUUGUUUUGCUAAUAUAAUUAAUUAUUUAGUCCUAUUAUCCCAAUGGAGAUUCGAAUCGAGACCAUGCCGCAUUUCACCUUGAGGCCUAAAAUGACUUAAUGCCUGACAUUUGUGAUUACUAAUGUUCAAUAUUGUGCAGGCUGAUCAGUCUGGAACAUUAACAGAGAUUCUUGUAGAGGAUACAAAGCCAGUUAGUGUAGACAUGCCUCUUUUUGUCAUUGUACCGUGAGUCACUAGGAGAGGGCCUCCUUCAAACUUCAUGGUGGUAGUCUCUCUUGAAUUUAGUUUUCAUUGAAUUUUCACACUAUAUUAAAGUUUCUUUUAAUCUGUAAUUUUAGAUUAAUAAUGGUUGACAAAGGACAUUCUCUUUUGGCAUUAUAGUUUGCUACUUGCCAUUUACGAAAAAGACAAAGCUAUAUAAUGUAAGAGCUUUGCAUAGUGUGUUAUAAAGCUUGUGAUUGUUUCUUGCAUCUCUGAAACUUGGCUAAGAUGUAGUUGUCAAACUCUUCUAUUAAAUGGUAAUGGUUACGAGGUUAUGAAA